UCACCUUCCCGCCCACGCCUUAUAUAGGUUUCCCUCACGCCCGGCAGCCAAUAGGAGCUCAGAACGCACCUUUCUCUGCCCGCCCUUUUCUCUCCCCGCCCUUUUUUCUUCCCGCCCUUUUCUCUUCCCGCCGUUUUUUUCCUCUCACCUCGCCCUUCCCGCCCUUCACACCUGAAGGGGCCGGGUCGGGGUCAUCUGAAGGUCACAGCUGGGGUCAGCUGAAGGUCACAGCCCCUCGCAGGGCGUUGCCGCCCAUCUCCUCAGGGCUGAGUCUCUCACAGGACAAAGGACUCUACAAGCUGGAAACCAGUUGUUUCAAGGCCUGUUCCUCCAGGAGGAACAACAAUGCCAAGAAAAUUAUCUUAAUGGUUUUUUUCCUCAUGUUUGGGUCGACACAAUUCUAUCCUAGCUACAUUUACUGGCAAACUUACUAAACAAACAAGGCUGCCCAAACUCUCCAUCUCAUGUGCUGGUUGAAAGUGGAAGUUUAAUUACACACUCCCUUGUUAUGGACUGAUCAUUAUCUCUUUGUAUAUGGUUUGUGGGGUGCUAUUUUUGUGAGAAGAAAAGGGUGAACAGAAGUACAUGAAAAUAGAGUCUGCAGGUUUUCUGUCUUCUGCCAAGUAAUUGUUAGCAAUCUAUCUAGUGGAGAAUCUAUUUCUUCAUUUUAAUUGUUGGGAAUUUAGACAAUGUGCACCUCUCUGUGGUGAAAAGCAAAAGGAAUCAGAAGCAGGCAAAGAAAUAAUUAACCUUCAAGAAAUUUGUGGAUGAAAACUACACUGCAGUCAAAUUUGCCCAAGCUGAGGCACAGCAAUAUGGAGUACUAUGACUGGAACCUUUAUGUGCUCUAGAUACACCCUUUAUAUAGGCCACAAAAAUGGCAUAAAAUGUUCAAACAUGAUGUUUUUCAAAUUCACUUUGGUACUUUGGCUUCACGUUCUCAGUUAAGACUCUGCUUUUGGUUUAACACAUCGCCACUGUUCUUAAGAAAAAAAGAUUUGAAGCAUUGCUGUUUGCUAGCACAUCUGCAGAAGCUGUGAAAUCAUGGGCUAUCAGGAAGAGUGCUUUUGAUGAGUGAUGCCAUUUACUGAGAGUUGGGCUGGGAAAGCUCAGUUCCAUCUCCACCUCGAGGCACUGUGGCCUGGUACCCUGUCAAGUGCCUGUGAGGAGCCAGCUGUGUAAG
rnacentral:lncRNA from 1 species